rnacentral:lncRNA from 1 species
AUCAUGUUCAAAUUAGUUUUAUAAGAGAGUCCCUAAUAUCAUAUUGUAUGUGAUUGUGUGUAUGUGUAUUUGAGUAUUUGAUGUACUUCAUAUUUUACUCUUCACAUGGAAAAGAAAAUCAGUAAUAUUACGUUAUAAAAUGAAAAAUAAUUAAUCUCAUCUUUAUUUUAUGAAACAAAUUACUUCUAAAAAACUAAAACUGAUAGAAACAAUAAAAACGUUUUAAGUGGGGAGCAGUGAGAGAAGAAUUUUGCAUGAUAUUUUAUUUUCAUGUAUAUUUAUGUUACUGUCCAAACCAAAAAAAAAAAAAAUCACAGAAAACCUAAAAACCUAAAGAGAUAAAAAACAAAAGUAAUGACCAGAAGUCAUGGUCACAAACAAGUGAUGGAUUUUCAUCCUACCAAAUCAAUGAAUCAUCAAAUACAUACAAGAAAAAGAAAAAAGUUAUGUGACUGAGUUAGACAUUUAAGCAACAAAUACUUGAGACAUUUUCUUUCUUUAUGGAAUGACAAUUUUAGUGAUAAGAAUUUCAGAUCUUUAUUUGCUUAUGUCAUUCUAAUAGUCCAUACCCAAGUAUGGAUUCCUAAUUGUUAAAAUAUUUCACAAGUAAACUAAUUUCAAUUUUUCAUUUAAUGAAAUUUAAAUACUACUUUCUGGGUUGGCAAAAAUCAAAAGUGAAAACAUACAGGAAUGUAGAUACAAGUUUUCAAGAAAUGUAAAUAAAUUUUAUAAAUUGUUAUAGGAAAUGCAAUAAAACUUACAGCAAAAAUCUGCCAAUGUUUAUAAAA